GGAGAGUAUUGCCUGUGGGAUCAGGAUCGGGCCUUAGACACCCGAAGUCACUGGGGUGAUCCAGUGGUUGCGGUUCGACUCCGCUACUCUCCUCCA
rnacentral:tRNA from 1 species